rnacentral:rRNA from 1 species
AACGUAGGAGACAACCGUUAUCCGGAGUUACUGGGCGUAAAGGGCGUGUAGGCGGUUAGUUAAGUCUGGCGUGAAAGCUCUCGGCUAAACCGGGAGAGGUCGUUGGAUACUGGCAAACUUGAGGACGGUAGAGGCGUGUGGAAUUCCGGGUGUAGUGGUGAAAUGCGUAGAGAUCAGGAGGAACACCAGUGGCGAAGGCGACACGCUGGGCCGUACCUGACACUGAUGCGCGACAGCAUGGGGAGCAAACAGG